GUGGGGAAUAUUGGACAAUGGGGGCAACCCUGAUCCAGCAAUGCCGCGUGUGUGAAGAAGGCCUGAGGGUUGUAAAGCACUUUCAGUGGGGAGGAGGAUUGACAGGUUAAGAGCUAGUUAAUUGGACGUUACCCAUAGAAGAAGCACCGGCUAACUCCGUGCCAGCAGCCGCGGUAAUACGGAGGGUGCAAGCGUUAAUCGGAAUUACUGGGCGUAAAGGGUGCGUAGGUGGUUGUAUAAGUUAACUGUGAAAUCCCCGGGCUCAACCUGGGCAGGUCAGUUAAGACUGUAUGACUCGAGUAUGGGAGAGGGUAGUGGAAUUUCCGGUGUAGCGGUGAAAUGCGUAGAGAUCGGAAGGAACACCAGUGGCGAAGGCGGCUACCUGGCCCAAUACUGACACUGAGGCACGAAAGCGUGGGGAGCAAACAGGAUUAGAAACCCCUGUAGUCC
rnacentral:rRNA from 1 species